UGAGAAUCAAAGUGAGUUUAUGUAAGACGUUGUAUGUACAACUAUAGUUUUGAGAGUGAAAUAAAAUUCAGUUUUUUCAUUGAGUGUUGUGAGCCAUUUUCAAAUCAUUCAAUACCCAUUUAGCCCAUUUACUCCAAAAUCAUUUCCAACAAACCUCAGUAAUUUCCUGGCAAUCAAUGGAAUUAGACCCGUUUCUUUUUCUUUGCAAUCACUGCACUGGAAUCUUAUACACCCAGUGAUAGAUUUGCACGAUUUGGUGAUUGAAGCAGCAUCAAUCUAGGUUGCAGUCUCGCAGAGGUUUCUUUUUCAAUUCUUUUAUCAUGUUUUAGUUUGGCGGAAUGGAAUUAGAAGCAAAACCAAGGAAGACUGCGAAAUAGGAGUUACACGACAAUGAUUAAGAUGAGCUCGAAAAUGCUUAUGAGAUGUUAGAGAAGAUGAAACAGACAGAAGUAGAGGCUUGAAUGAGUGAAGUACAAGCGAGCGCUAAAAGAAGGAAGCUGGUGUCAGAAUCUGGGUCUAAAAUGAACAUGAGUAUCAAGCCUUUGUCCAUUUUUUUGAAAUCACGAUAUUACUCAUGUAACCUUAUUCAUUUCUUCAUUAUCAUUGAAAAGAGUCUGCUUUGCGUGUUUUUCAUCCACAAAGUGUUGUAUUUGGUACCAGUACUUGAAUAAUGGUCGCUGCAACGAGAAAAAA